GAGGAGUUCUUUAAGUGCUCCUAGACGUGCAUAUUAAGUAACAACUUCGUAGCUUGGCGCUAUACGCAUCACUAGGUUUGUAGCUACAGUGCAUGGUCCGUCACUCCAUUACUGACGUCAACGUCCUAGAGGGUUGUCACAUUAGUCUAGAAAAGCUCUGAAUGCUGCAGGAGAGAAGAAGAAGCACAGUCAGCAUUUUGUGUUAAGAUUUCCCAAAGAGUGACCCUGUCUUGUCUGCUCCUGUCAUCCUGUACCCUGUUGGCUUUCCACAUGGAUUCUCGCCAGAAGCUAAAGCACGUGCAUAAGUGGCUACGUCUUGUCUCUCUCAUCUGCCUCUACAUGCUUUAUUCCACUAUAUUUGCUAACAAGAUGUUUUCGUUUCAGUUCUGUAAACAGGAUGUGGUUUAGCAUAUGCCUGUUUGUUUGGCUGUCCAUCCUGCACCAUUAAUACAAUGCCUUUUCCCCAUUUAAUGGUGUUUGUAUCUAUGUCCCUAUAUCUGCUGCAUUUUAACUUCAUUAAAAAAACAUGAUUUUGUAUUUAUACUUUGCUGAUCUAUUCAGUAAUUCUGCACCAAUCAGCAGACUUCUCUGCAUGUAGUAGUCUGUACAAUUGUUCAACAUCAGAAUACUUGUUCAUGUCAAAUGUCUAUAAAAUUGCCAACAUUGUUCUCCAUUUCAGUCUGGUAGAAUACGUGAGAUAGAAAAUAAAUGUGUAAAUGAA
rnacentral:lncRNA from 1 species